rnacentral:tRNA from 2 species
GCUAUGAUAGUUUAAUUAUAGAAUACAUAACUUGUAAUUAUGAGGUUUUUAGUAGCU